rnacentral:rRNA from 1 species
AAUGAACGUUGGCGGCGUGGAUUAGGCAUGCAAGUCGUGCGAGAACCGUAGCAAUACGGGGACAGCGGCGAAAGGGAGAGUAACGCGUGGAUACCUCCCCCCAGGACCAGGAUAGCCGCGGGAAACUGCGGGUAAUACUGGAUAAUGUCACCGGACAAAAGGUGUGAUUCCGUGCGGGGAUGGGUCAGCGUCCUAUUAGCUAGUUGGUAGGGUAAUGGCCUACCAAGGCAAAGAUGGGUAUGGGGGGUGAGAGCAUGCCCCCACUCACUGGGACUGAGACACUGCCCAGACACCUACGGGUGGCUGCAGUCGAGGAUCUUCGGCAAUGGGCGCAAGCCUGACCGAGCGACGCCGCGUGCGGGAUGAAGGCCUUCGGGUUGUAAACCGCUGUCAGAGGGGAGUAAAUGCCGUGGGGUUCUCUCCACGGUUUGACCUAUCCUCAGAGGAAGGACGGGCUAAGUUCGUGCCAGCCGCCGCGGUAACAC